UACGUAGGGUCCGAGCGUUGUCCGGAAUUACUGGGCGUAAAGAGCUCGUAGGCGGUUUGUCGCGUUGUUCGUGAAAACUCACAGCUCAACUGUGGGCGUGCGGGCGAUACGGGCAGACUAGAGUACUGCAGGGGAGACUGGAAUUCCUGGUGUAGCGGUGGAAUGCGCAGAUAUCAGGAGGAACACCGGUGGCGAAGGCGGGUCUCUGGGCAGUAACUGACGCUGAGGAGCGAAAGCGUGGGGAGCGAACAGG
rnacentral:rRNA from 1 species